GGUUUAAUUACCCAAGUUUGAGGUAUUGAAUGUUUCGGCCCAGAGUUAGGCUACUGUGGCUUUGAGUGAAAUUUUGGAACGUCUGCAUAUUUGUGGGACAAU
rfam:Brugia malayi, FR3, WGS project CAPY01000000 data, contig: ctg1510323